AACGCACCUUGCGCUCCUUGGUAUUCCGAGGAGCAUGCCUGUUUGAGUGUCUUGAAAUCAUCAAACCCCUCUGGUUUCUGCUGGAGCGGGUUUGGACUUGGGGGUUUUGCUGCCUCUGGCGGCUCCCCUUAAAUGAAUCGGUCGGGCUUUCGUGUGGCUUGUCCCUUGGCGUUGUAUCAACCUCGUCGCUGGAUGGCUCGCGAGCUUUAGCGCCCCUCCAAGACCAGCCUCUGGAGUGGCGGUCAACUUCAAUUUGUGAUCUGACCUCAAAUCAGGUAGGACUACCCGCUGAACUUAA
rnacentral:misc_RNA from 2 species